GCGGACCCGGUGUUGGGCAAUCCCGACUUCCAUCAUAGCAAGAUAAAACAUUGAAAACCACUAGAAAAAUAUAUCCUAAAAUUUGUUUGAACUUUGGUAUCGAUGUUUCAAUGAGUGUCCGUCGUAAACUUUAGAUAUAAAAUAAACUGUCUCGUUAUUGCAGUCGUCUGCCACAAGAUUGACAUCUGAUAUUUAAACCACACCCAAACUCUUGAACUCUGCGCGGGAAUCAGUCCGGAUCCACUCAAAUAUCUUCCGGUUUUGCUUAAUGCCAUGGCGACACUCGUUAAGUUCUGAUUACUGAGUUGUCUCAGCACAAAUUUUGAGAAUGGUGGCAAGAAGCAUCUUGUUUCUUCUUCUUCUUACUAGAUGGCAAAUAAUAGGAGUAACAGGUGUGCAAAUCAAAUCUUGCGGUGAAGGAAAUAUGAUAGAAAUAAAGCCCGGAGAGACACGCUCGUUCAGGUGUACCUCAAACACAGGGUACGUGGAGUGGACACUAGUCACCGGCAAGAGCGGAGCUCACCAACGGCUUGCCGUGUGGGAAAACAACUUGCAAACUUAUAACGACUUCGACAAAACAUUUGUUGCAAAAUCUAAAUACGAGCUAGAAAUUAAUGCUGUGAACAACAGAAAGAUACACGAUGAUGUCUCAAUUGUGAACGGAAGUCUGUUGUGCAAAACUGGGAGAGAAACGGCGACCUGCGGACUGAGCUAUGUUGAUGCUGCACAAGGCACUGUAUGCACGGCCAUGGCGACAUCUUGGAAUGUCACGGUAUCCUGCAACAUCAGCAGCGCCUACUCCUCUCGGAGAAUUUACACCUGUCAUCUCAGUAGAAAACACAAUUCAGUGUUCAUACCGCUACAGACCAUCGCCAUGACGACUAGUGUCACCAGCCAGCUAAUAGCAAACAAUGAGUUCAAAGUGUCUGGAAACUGUUUGUUUUAUACACAACUUCCGGCUAUUGAAGGAAAAUAUGACUACUAUGUUGUCACCUCCCCAGGGAGAAGCAAGCAGACGGUGGUAAAUACUGGGGACAGACAAAGUCUGACAGUUAAACGACCAGCCUCGCCAAAUGUCUCAUGUCAUCCUGGUGGUCACGUGUUAGAAAACACAGAAGUCAGCUGUGUGUGUAGGACAACUAGUCUGGGUCAACCACAAGGUUCUUUGAGAUGGAUGGUCGGGUAUGGAGCAAACAUGACAUCAUCGGCCACCACAGAGCUGGGUGAUGAAAACUCAUCUGAGCUCCGUUACAACCGCACCUUGACGAUGAGUGAUCAUGGGAAGACGUGGCUGAGAUGUCAGCUUGUGUGGGGGGCAGAGGAACUUAGAGGAGAUACCUACAUGGCUAGUGUUGGGCGUAAGCCCCGUUCCUUGUCUGACGAUGUCAUCGCGAUGACAAACAUGCAGUUUGAUGUGAUCGCGUUUCCCAAGCCUCACAAUGCCACCUUGAUGUACCUGGGAACCAGUCCAACCACCAACAUACCUCACCCAGACAGCCAACUCUCAAUAAUAUCUUUGGACUGUAAUUCCUAUCCCGACGACUUUGACCGGUUUAACUGCUCUCUAGUAUCCUCUGCAAAUUCCUCUGAGAUGGAAUCAGGCUUCUACAGACUUGUGGUGGUCAACGAAGUUGGUGAAGGAAUCUUGACAGUGCGGAUUGGUGAGCAAAUGAAUGCUUGAGUGCAUGUUCAUUUAAUUAAGUAUAUUCAAUCUAGAGAACGUGACUUAGAUAAUGGGAUAUAAUUUAAAUGAUACCAAAAAAAGUUUACCAAGUGAGACACGAAAACACAAAGUUCAAUCCUCGUGUCUGACUUCAGGACUUUUUAGUCAUGGAGAAAUAAUAUACAAUCAAAAUAUAAUUUGAAAAGGCUCUCUGAAGGGUCUGGAAUUAUAAUGGAAGCAGAUAUAGCUAUAAAAGGAAGCCUAAACCAACUAAAUGUUGUCUGUAUUGAAAAACAUACCAGCACUAACAGACUUUCUUUCUCUCUCUGUCACACACACACACACAAAAGAAAAAAAAAAACCCGCAGAAACAAGCAUGCACAGUCAUGUAUAAAUCCAAGCUUAAUCAACACAAUCACAAACAUCUAGACGAGUAAAAUGACAGAUUAUUAUUAUAAACACCUAAGCAUACAUUUCAUUAAGCGAUAAUUAAAUAUAAUGCACAGUUUAAAACGCAGUCAACCAUUAUAAAAAGACAAACUUAAGAGGAAGCAAACAAACAAGCACAAACAAAUUAAUAUAAAAUGAGACAAGACGCUCAUCAGGACAAAUGGAUAAAAACUGAGAAAUAAAUGCAAAGACAACGCUAGACAGACAUAAUAUAAUAUCUACAAACAUGUUUUAAAAUAUCCGUCGUUACAAGUAACGGUAUUACUGAGGCUCGAGUCGUUCGUUCAAAGUUCGGUAUUACCAAAAGAGCAGGAUGGGGAGUUUACGAAAGGCCAACAUGAUGCAGGAUACACUUAAGUCCGUUAUCAACUCUUGCUGAGAGCACGUGCUUGUAAGCAAGCAAGGCUACGUCACGUGACACAAGCCAGGUCAGGUCAAAGGAAGACUGGCACGGGUUCAUGUCAACAUGUGUGGACGCCUUCACAAAGACGAGUUUUGGAUAAUUGUUUUUACCCUUUCUAUUUUGACAUCGCAAUUAUCGAUCUCAUGAUAUGUUAAUAAACAAGCAAUCAAAGCGAAACAGUAUUCUAGAGAAUCUCGACAGACAGACAGACAGACAGACAGACAGACAGACAGACAGACAGACAGACAGACAGACAGACAGACAGACAGACAGACAGACAGACAGACAGACAGGCAAACAUUAGUUUAAAAGAAGUGAGAAUCUUGUAUUCACACAUGUGCAUCCCAUCUCUGCUCAUGCCAACAUUUAAGCGUGUAAAAUAUAUUUAAAAUUGUAACGUUGAGUGUGUAAUAGUUGAAUGUGAAAACUGAGCUACUUUAAGUAACAUCGUCUUUUCCCCAAUUUAUAACUAUUAUUUCUUUAACUAAUAUGUAUAUUAUAUCAAAAAAUAAAACCAAUGUGCAUAUAUUUAUUCUUUGGAACAGAAAUUUUACACACAGUGCAGACAUGGGAUUACCAUUUGUGGUGGUGCCAUCACUCCACAUGGUAUGGGUCGGCAGGUAAGUACAGUAGAUUUUUUCAUUGCAAAGAACUGCGUCUGUUCCACAGCAGUGCUGUCAUUAAAUACAAAUCUUGUUUUGCGUUCUGUUUAUUUUUUCGACUUUGUGAUAUAUAGAUAUUUUGCAAAUUCCCGCGGUGGAAAUUAAAGCUUUUAUGUUUACAGACCAGACUAAAGGUAAUACACAAGCGUUAUAAAAGUUUAGGAUAUGUGGUAAUAACUACUUGAUAUUAAUUUUAGACAACAGUAUACAACUGAAUAGUGUCAAGGGGCUCUCUGUGUAGGACAUCAGCGUGACUUGUUUAGCCAGAAAUUAUUCCCCUGCUCACUCAAAAUCUACUGUGCAGACGGUGCAAGGGAGGUAAGCCCCACAGCUACAGUGAAGAACUCUUCAGGGGAGGUAACGACGUCAUUAAACGAAGGCUUUCUCAUUUCCUGUUCUAAAUAAAUGUUUCAUAUCUAUUGCCUUUUUUUAAUGGGUCUCUUUGCUUUUUGGAAAGGUGUAGACUGUGUGUAAAGUUUGUCUCCUCUUGAAUUUUCUGGCCUAGUGGUGGACAGAGCGAGUGGUUCGCAGGUAUGACCCGUCAGGUCUUUGUGACUGAUAAGGAUAACUAUUUAAUAUUAAUAUGUAAAGUAUACAUUCUACUUACAGGGCAGUUUCUAUGACACUUGGGUAUGAGACACAUGACAACAAGGCAUGGACAGACUUUGAGAGGCUCCAGGCUUGAACUCUUUACAACAAGCGUCGUUGCUAAAUUUAUCUUAUUUUCCGGUCUGGUUACUACCCAAGUCAAGCAACUCAAAAAUUUC
rnacentral:misc_RNA from 1 species